CCUACGGGAGGCAGCAGUGGGGAAUAUUGCGCAAUGGGCGAAAGCCUGACGCAGCGACGCCGCGUGAGGGAUGAAGGUCUUCUGAUCGUAAACCUCUGUCAGCAGGGAAGCACGGUCACUGUGCUAAUCAGCAGUGCAUUGACGGUACCUGCAAAGGCAGCACCGGCUAACUCCGUGCCAGCAGCCGCGGUAAUACGGAGGGUGCGAGCGUUAAUCGGAAUUACUGGGCGUAAAGCGCUCGUAGGCGGUAUGUCAAGUCAAGGGUGAAAUCCCCGCGCUCAACGUGGGAACUGCCUUUGAAACUGGGAAACUGGAGUGUGUGAGAGGAUAGUGGAAUUCCAGGUGUAGGAGUGAAAUCCGUAGAUAUCUGGAGGAACAUCAGUGGCGAAGGCGACUAUCUGGCACAUAACUGACGCUGAGGAGCGAAAGCGUGGGUAGCAAACAGGAUUAGAUACCCUUGUAGUC
rnacentral:rRNA from 1 species